UUUAUUGGGCGUAAAGCGAGCGCNGGCGGUUAGAUAAGUCUGAAGUUAAAGGCUGUGGCUUAACCAUAGUACGCUUUGGAAACUGUUUAACUUGAGUGCAGAAGGGGAGAGUGGAAUUCCAUGUGUAGCGGUGAAAUGCGUAGAUAUAUGGAGGAACACCGGUGGCGAAAGCGGCUCUCUGGUCUGUAACUGACGCUGAGGCUCGAAAGCGUGGGGAGCGAACAGAAUUAGAUACCCUGGUAGUNCACGCCGUAAACGAUGAGUGCUAGGUGUUAGGCCCUUUCCGGGGCUUAGUGCCGCAGCUAACGCAUUAAGCACUCCGCCUGGGGAGUACGACCGCAAGGUUGAAACUCAAAGGAAUUGACGGGGGCCCGCACAAGCGGUGGAGCAUGUGGUUUAAUUCGAAGCAACGCGAAGAACCUUACCAGGUCUUGACAUCCCGAUGCCCGCUCUAGAGAUAGAGUUUUACUUCGGUACAUCGGUGACAGGUGGUGCAUGGUUGUCGUCAGCUCGUGUCGUGAGAUGUUGGGUUAAGUCCCGCAACGAGCGCAACCCUUAUUGUUAGUUGCCAUCAUUCAGUUGGGCACUCUAGCGAGACUGCCGGUAAUAAACCGGAGGAAGGUGGGGAUGACGUCAAAUCAUCACGCCCCUUAUGACCUGGGCUACACACGUGCUACAAUGGCUGGUACAACGAGUCGCAAGUCGGUGACGGCAAGCUAAUCUCUUAAAGCCAGUCUCAGUUCGGAUUGUAGGCUGCAACUCGCCUACAUGAAGUCGGAAUCGCUAGUAAUCGCGGAUCAGCACGCCGCGGUGAAUACGUUCCCGGGCCUUGUACACACCGCCCGUCACACCACGAGAGUUUGUAACACCCGAAGUCGGUGAGGUANCCUUUUAGGA
rnacentral:rRNA from 1 species